rnacentral:lncRNA from 1 species
CCCAGCUCUAGCAGACACGCAGUGAGCACCGCUGGGCGCUGUUCGCCCUCUUUCAAGGACUUGACCUCCACAAGCCCUUCGAGCAGCAUCUGGCCUUCUGGUCCCUGACCUGCGUCAGCCACUCCGAGGGCGGGUGCACACCCUCCCUGGGAGGUUAGUGCGCAGGCGCUGUGGGCACCGGGCGUGUCAGCUCUCCCUGCCGGUCAGGACAGGCGGGAAGGACCAGGCAUCGUUUCCAGACUCCUCUCCGGCCUCCGCUGCGCCCCGGUGAGUCUCACCCUCCGGAGGCGGCUCUGCCGGGAGACAGAGCGCGUGUGUCACGAGACCGCGCACCCCUCCAGGUGGCGGCUCCCGCGUCUGCAGAGGCCACAGCAGCAGCAGGACAAACCUGAGCCAGAGUCUAGAUUGCGGGGAAGCCUCCGCAGCACAAGGCCCUCCGCUCCACGAGAAGAGUUCUGACGGCGUGUCCCUCUCCCUGGCCGCUUCCUGAGAACAGGGUAGGGGACGAGGUGUCCCAGGCGAGGCCCAGCCUCCACCUGCCCUCCAGGGCAGGAGAGCAGGAGGAGGACUGGAAAAGCCCCCGGGUGGGCUCUGCUGUGAGUCUGGCUUGUUCGAGGGGAGGGCUUUGGCCCAAUCAAGAGACUGACAUUUUAAACCACGCUGAAUGGAAUUUUAGUAGUCAGUUCAUAGGGUCUGCCUGGAAUGUCAUUAAGGUACAGGCCAGGGGAGUUUUUCACAUCAAACUUGAAAUCGAUAAUAAAAACGGUAACGCCUGGGAGUUCCCGCCACGGCGCGCCGGGAUCUGCAGCGUUUUGAGAGUGCUGGGACGCAGGUUCGAUCCCUGGCCCGGCACAGUGCCUUAAGGAUCCGGCAUGACUGCAGCUGUGGUUAGGUUGCAACUGCAGUUCAGAUCUGAUCCCUGGCCCAGGUUCUUUUUAGGGCUGCAUCUGCAGCAUGUGGAAGUUCCCAGGCAAGGGGUCGAAUCGGAGCUGCAUCUGCUGGCCUACAUCGCAGCCACAGCAAUGCCAAAUCCGAGCUGCAUCUGCAACCUAUGCUGCCACUUGUGGCAACACCAGAUCCUUAACCCACUGAGUGAGGCCAGGGAUUGAACCUACAUUCUUUUGGAUACUAGCUGGAUUCUUAACCCGCUGAGCCACAACAAGAACACCUAGGUGUAAUUUCUUAUGAGAGUUUCCAAGAAUUGAGACUGUUGGGCAAAAGGACAUGAAGAUUUCUGGGGAGGCAGACAGAAAUUUUUUUUUUUUUGGUCUUUUUGCCAUUUUUCAGAAUUUUUUUUAAUGUUUUGGGCUAUUUUUCAAAUUUUUUUGGCCACGGUGUAUAAUGGCUUGAUGUAGGGUCUCAGUUCCCAGACCAGGAGUUGAACUCAGGCUGCAGUGGUGAAAGUGUCGAGCCCUAACCACUAGACCACCAGGGAACUCCCAAGGCAGACAGAUACUCCCCAAUCAGACAGGACAACUCCUUUGAAAAGCAAACUACAAAAUACGAACACUUGACCAAGAAGGAAGCUUCACUUCUAGAGCCUGUUUAGUCCACGAAGUGAACACCAGCCACCUCAUAGCCAAGCGCCCUGGGUUUUAUUCCUUCCUUCCUUCCUUCCUUCCUUCCUUCCUUCCUUCCUUCCUUUCUUUCCCCCUCAGCCGCACCCACAGUAUAUGGGAGUUCCCAGGCCAGGGAUCAAAUCCAAGCUGCGUCCAUGACCUACACCACUGCUGCAACAAUGCAGGACUCUUAACCCACUGUACCAGGCUCAGGAUGCAACCGGCAAUGCCACGGAGAGUAGCUGGACCCUUAACCCGUGGUGCCACAGUGGAAACUCCUCAGCCAGUUAUUUCUACACACCUUUCCUGCUCUGACUAGUCUUUUAUCAUUUGUGCUUCAGGGAAGCUGAGCAUUGCAUUUUGAGGUCUGGUCGUGAGGCAUUUCAAGUCCUUUGGUAGAUCAAGAUCUCCACCUGUGAGAAAGGAACGAUCCGCUUGCCCGUGCUGCUGCGUGCCAUUUGUUCCUGUGCCCUCUCAAUGGCAGAUCUGGCCUGUCCAACCACACUGGCAGUUGACACUGUGUCCUCUGGUGGUGUUGGAUCCCAGCCUCCUCCUCUCAGUUGGCCCUAAGCCAUCACAGGACUCAAGCCAGGUAUGAGCCAUUUCCUGUGAGAGAAUGUUUUAUUAUAUAACUACUCUGAAGAACCGUGCAACCCUUGGCACCAGACUGGCCUUUCGUAGUGAGCCCUUUGAGGACACGUCGUGAGGUCACCCACAGUCUCUACACAGUUCUGUAGGGUCGACCCAACCUCUGACCAAUCAGAACAACGCAGCACUCCUCAGACACAGAGAUGGCUUCAGGGAUAUGCACACAACCUGUUGGGCCACCAGCCGUCUUACCUGGAAUGUUACUGGAGCUACAUCAGAGAAGAGGUGCUUUCUGAUGGAGUUACAGAAUUCCUAGAAUGUAGCUGGGAGCUACUGGGGACCGUCGUUGACACCACCUAGGGAGAGACUGCCCAGUAACAAAGUCAGCUUGGAGGAAAGCAAAGUUCACAGAGAAAGUCCGACUUGUUACAACUUUGAUCCAGUCCUAAAGCCAGCAAUAUACCAGUGGAUUCCUUGGUUUAUAAACCAACAUUUCUUUUAUUGUAUAAGUUGGUAUGAGUUGGUUUUCUGUUGCUUGAAACUUAUACAGCUGGUAAGAAAGCCUGACUGGUAUUUCCUUCUGCUUUACCAGCUGGCUAAACCUCCAGGGAGGAAAUACACCAAAGAAAAGCAAGUUGAGGAGUUCCCACUGUGGCUCAGUGGUAACAAACUCGACUAGUAUCCAGGGACGUUUGAUGCGGCGUUGCCAUGAGCUAUUGUGUAGGUUGCAGACUUGGCUUGAAUCCUGUCGGUGCUGUGGCUGUGGUGUAGGCUGACAGCUGUAGCUCCGAUUAGACCCCUAUCCUGGGAUCUUCCAUAUGACUCGGGUGUGGCCCUAAAAAGGAAAAAAAAAAAGUAAGAAAGAAACACAACCAAUUUCUGUAUGUUAAUCUUGUAUUCUGCUGCUUUGCUGAAUUUGUUUAUCAAUUCUAGCAGUUUUUGUGUGGAGUCUUUCAGGCUUUCUAUAUGUAGUGUCAUAACAUUUGCAUGUAAUGAUCAUUUUACCUCCUCCCUACCAAUGUGAAUAUGUUUUAUUUCUUUCUCUUGUCUGAUUGCUGUGGCUGGGACUUCCAAUACUAGGUCGAAGAGAGGUAGUGACAACGGGCAUCCUUGUCUUACUCCAGACUUUCACGGGAAGGCUUUCUGUUUUCACCACUGAGUAUUAUAUUGGCUGUGGGUGUGUCAUGAAUAGCUUCUAUGAUGUUGAGAUAUGUUGCCUCUCUACCCACUUGCGUAAUGGUUUUUAUCACGAAUGGAUGUUGAGUUUUAUCAGAUGCUUUUUCUGCACCUAUUGAGAUAAUCAUGUGGGUUUUGCCUUUUCUUUUGUGAUGUGGCGAAUCGCAUUGAUUGGCUUGAGUAUGUUGAACCAUCCUUGUGACCCUGAGAUGAACCCCACUUUGUCGUGGUGUAUGAUCUUUUUUA